GACGAACGCUGGCGGCGUGCUUAACACAUGCAAGUCGAACGGAAAGGCCCUGCUUUUGUGGGGUGCUCGAGUGGCGAACGGGUGAGUAACACGUGAGUAACCUGCCCUUGACUUUGGGAUAACUUCAGGAAACUGGGGCUAAUACCGGAUAGGAGCUCCUGCUGCAUGGUGGGGGUUGGAAAGUUUCGGCGGUUGGGGAUUGACUCGCGGCUUAUCAGCUUGUUGGUGGGGUAGUGGCUUACCAAGGCUUUGACGGGUAGCCGGCCUGAGAGGGUGACCGGCCACAUUGGGACUGAGAUACGGACCAGACUCCUACGGGAGGCAGCAGUGGGGAAUAUUGCACAAUGGGCGGAAGCCUGAUGCAGCAACGCCGCGUGCGGGAUGACGGCCUUCGGGUUGUAAACCGCUUUCGCCUGUGACGAAGCGUGAGUGACGGUAAUGGGUAAAGAAGCACCGGCUAACUACGUG
rnacentral:rRNA from 1 species